rnacentral:rRNA from 1 species
AGUGAACGCUGGCGGUAGGCCUAACACAUGCAAGUCGAACGGCAGCACAGUAAGAGCUUGCUCUUACGGGUGGCGAGUGGCGGACGGGUGAGGAAUACAUCGGAAUCUACUUUUUCGUGGGGGAUAACGUAGGGAAACUUACGCUAAUACCGCAUACGACCUACGUGUGAAAGCAGGGGAUCUUCUGACCUUGCGCGAUUGAAUGAGCCGAUGUCGGAUUAGCUAGUUGGCGGGGUAAAGGCCCAACCAGGCGACGAUCCGUAGCUGGUCUGAGAGGAUGAUCAGCAACACUGGAAGUGAGAAACGGUCCAGACUCCUACGGGAGGAAGCAGUGGGGAAUAUUGGACAAUGGGGGAAAGCCUGAUCCAGCCAUACGGCGUGGGUGAAGAAGGCGUUAGGGUGGUAAAGCCCUUUUGUUGGGAAAGAAAAGAAGCAGGUUAAUACCCCGCUGUUCUGACGGUACCCAAAGAAUAAGCACCGGCUAACUUCGUG